rnacentral:rRNA from 1 species
UACGAAGGGGGGCUAGCGUUGCUCGGAAUCACUGGGCGUAAAGGGUGCGUAGGCGGGUUUUUAAGCCAGGGGUGAAAUCCUGGAGCUCAACUCCAGAACUGCCUUUGAUACUGAAGAUCUUGAGUCCGGGAGAGGUGAGUGGAACUGCGAGUGUAGAGGUGAAAUUCGUAGAUAUUCGCAAGAACACCAGUGGCGAAGGCGGCUCACUGGCCCGGUACUGACGCUGAGGCACGAAAGCGUGGGGAGCAAACAGG